UACGAAGGGGGCUAGCGUUGCUCGGAAUCACUGGGCGUAAAGCGCACGUAGGCGGAUUCUUAAGUCGGUGGUGAAAGCCUGGAGCUCAACUCCAGAACUGCCUUCGAUACUGAGAGUCUUGAGUUCGGGAGAGGUGAGUGGAACUGCGAGUGUAGAGGUGAAAUUCGUAGAUAUUCGCAAGAACACCAGUGGCGAAGGCGGCUCACUGGCCCGAUACUGACGCUGAGGUGCGAAAGCGUGGGGAGCAAACAGG
rnacentral:rRNA from 1 species